UCAAAUUUGCUGUCACUCAAGCUGCCCUGGAAUUCAUAAUCCUCCUGCUUCAGCCUCCUGAGUGCUGGGACUACAGGAGUACACCUCAUCUUUGUUUUAUGCAAGUCCUUAAUCAUGAUGGGAGCUGACAUUUACCGAGUGCUUACUAUGUGCCAGGGACCACGUUAACCCCUUUCUGUACAGCGCCUCUGCUACUUGUGCAUCUCUGCCACAGGCAGUGUUGCUCUAGGGCCCAGAGAUGCCAGCAGAGGCGGGCCAUUGCCAUCUGCAGAGGUGGCAUGAGAAGUGGGGGCGGGAGAGGGCAGGAUGGGAUGAAGAAGCAUUUCUGGGAUAAGAAGGACAUCAGGGGAGGCCUGCAGUACCUGAUUCCUCGCUGCUUUCUCUCCAUGGAGGGCUCCAGGCCUCUUGAGUUAUAGCUCUUUGGAGACCAGGCCCUGGGGUUUCCAGGCAGCCCCCUCCCAGAGACACACAUCUGCCGGCAGGCCAGGCUAGCAUUGUGCCUGGCGUGCCCACUUACAGACCGGAACCACAGCAUGCUGUCUCUCUCCCUGGUGCUGCAUCAGCCCUCCUCCUAUUGCUUUUUUUUCUUUCUUGCGUUCUUUUUUUUUUUUUUUUUUUUUUUGACAGGGUUUUGCUAUGCAGUUCAGGCUGGCCUUGAAUGUGCUAUGCAGCCCAGGCUGGCUUUGACCAGCAAUCCUCCUGCCUCACCUCCCGAGUGCUGGGAUUACAGUUAAAAGGCCUACAGGUGCCACCUGUAAACUGGCCACCUGUCCUCCGAGUUGUGAGAGGAAGGAAGACCGUGCCCAGGCCUCCAGAUCUGCUUAUAGUCUCUGUCUGAGGGGUCUGUGCUUUGACAGAGAACCGACUCCUGGCUGCUCCAUCCUGCCUAACCAGAGAGUAGCUGCGGGCUCCUCUCAGUGAGAACACCCUGAGUUUUCCUCCCGGCACCCAAAGCACCCUGGGAAACAAAGCCUGCACAUUCCAGCCCUGACUGGGUGACAGGAGGUUCUGGCACAGAGAAAUGUCAAGGAAAGGGAUGUCUGCACUGUGCUCAGAAGGACAAAAGGCAGCUUUUCAAGCAGGUCACUGGGGAGAGUGACAGAGAAGGUUCUGGACUCCAGCUGGAAGAGGGAGGGCAGCAGGAAAGAAAGGGCUCCUGGGAGUCACUGGCUGUUCCUCCCUACUGCUUUUUAUGGUGCUCACAGACAGGAUGCCGCUGCCACCCAAAGUGAGCUCAGACAGGUCACCAAGGCCAAGCUGUGGCCCCGGGAAUCCGGAUGUCUGGAAACCACGGGUGCAGUCCAAUCCCCUGACUUCCACAUGGAGAAGCAAAGACCCUGAGAGGGGAAUCCAGUAUCCCCUGUGCUACCAUCCCAAAUCAGAGACGAGCCUCAGAUGUGAAAAUAAUAUUAAAACAAUAGUUUCUUUUCUUUA